rnacentral:sRNA from 1 species
AUGAUUGCGAAUCGUCGCCUUCGGUGCUGCUCGUAAGAGCAUGUGCACGUUGGUGGCUUUCAUSCAAUACCCUUGUGAACCUUUGGCCCUCUUGCUAGCUUCGGCUGGCAGAGGAUUUUUUAUACACACACUCGAAUGUAAUGAAAACGAUUGUCGUGCGCAAGCACUAAUGUACAACUUUCAACAACGGAUCUCUUGGCUCUCGCAUCGAUGAAGAACGCAGCGAAAUGCGAUAAGUAAUGUGAAUUGCAGAAUUCAGUGAAUCAUCGAAUCUUUGAACGCACCUUGCACCCUUUGGUAUUCCGAAGGGUAUGCUCGGUUGAGUGUCAUUGUACUCUCACACUCUCUGAUCGUGUAGAUUCAGUGAGCGGUGGACUUGGGUGCUUGCUGCUUUCCUUGUGGCUCACCUCAGAUGCGAUAGUGUACCUCUUGGUUGGACAUAGUACGGCGGAUAAGUGUCUUCGCCGGCACCUCGCAAAGGGUGGCCAAUCGUGAGCUCWGURCUUUCAACCGUCUUCGGACAAUUUCUGACAA